CAAAGCUGGCUCAAGCUCCCAACAGCCACAUGCCUUCUGGAGAGACACCAACUUCAGCAAAGUGUCUCUGCUAGGCUGCUUGGUCCAAGAGUCUGUGCGUCGUCGCACAUUGAAGGAAAAAGACAAAGCAAGUGUAAAAUAAUAGAAUCCUUUUGGAUUAUUACCGAAUGCUCUGCACCACAGUAUUGCUGCCUGCUGAUUCAGCCCAACCACUACCCCAGCAUCCACCUGCAGGCACCGGCUAGAGGGACAAUACUUACUCAUCACUCCCCAGUAUCUCAUGUGCAUACAUAUCAGCGGAAAGUGAUGAGCCACCUAGCUUCUGCUUCAUUCUGGAGAAUAAUGCUGUGCUGCGGGGAGACUGAGGUGCAGCAACUGUUGAGAGAGCACAGUAAAACACAGCCUGAUGCAACUUACGACUUGGACAUCUUGGACAACAAAUUACAUGACAUAGCAGAGGUCCUCAUACCCGACGCUAUAAAAUGAAAAACAAAAGAGAGAAGACUAUGAGGUCAAGUAAAUAUUAGAUGAGAAAAACAAAAAAAUAUCAGCUAAUAAAAUACUGGUUUCUCAGUUUAUUGCAAUGACUCACAACAACUAGUAGUAUUACGCAAGAUGUUCAAAUAUUCAAAAGUGCAACUUAUUACAAACACAGACAGGUAUGUGAACAGGUAAUUACACACAAAUACACUGUGAUAACAGAGGAAAUACUUUUAUCUCAUAAUAUAAUAAGAGUGAUUAAUAGAUUUGUGAUUACACCAUUUUGCUUCUCUGUACUAUUUCGUUGCCCUAGGCAACUGCAUAUGUUGCCUACACCCAGGACUGCUAAAGUCUACCAGAGGCAAUACAACUCCUACAUACAGUAGUUCACAGUAAAAGCUGCAAGAAAUUAAAGAGCAUUUCUGACACAAAAAUGUAUUUUGUAUUUCUUUAUAUUCGAAUUCAGCUUUUU